rnacentral:tRNA from 1 species
GCAUUGGUGUUUAAGAGGUAGAAUUCUCGCCUUCUAUUAUAGUGGACCAGGGUUCGAUUCCUGGCCAGUGCA